GGCACAGUGGAGCAGUGGUUAGCAUGGCUGCCUCAGAGCUAGAAGAUUGUGGGUUUGAAUCUAGCCUGGGGCC